rnacentral:rRNA from 1 species
GAUGAACGCUGGCGGCGUGCUUAACACAUGCAAGUCGAACGAUGAAGCCCAGCUUGCUGGGUGGAUUAGUGGCGAACGGGUGAGUAACACGUGAGUAACCUGCCCUUAACUCUGGGAUAAGCCUGGGAAACUGGGUCUAAUACCGGAUAGGAGCGUCCACCGCAUGGUGGGUGUUGGAAAGAUUUAUCGGUUUUGGAUGGACUCGCGGCCUAUCAGCUUGUUGGUGAGGUAAUGGCUCACCAAGGCGACGACGGGUAGCCGGCCUGAGAGGGUGACCGGCCACACUGGGACUGAGACACGGCCCAGACUCCUACGGGAGGCAGCAGUGGGGAAUAUUGCACAAUGGGCGCAAGCCUGAUGCAGCGACGCCGCGUGAGGUAUGACGGCCUUCGGGUUGUAAACCUCUUUCAGUAGGGAAGAAGCGAAAGUGACGGUACCUGCAGAAGAAGCACCGGCUAACUACGUG